rnacentral:rRNA from 1 species
GAAGGACCCUGCUUUCGGGUAGGGAGCGUACACAGGUGCUGCAUGGCUGUCGUCAGCUCGUGUCGUGAGAUGUUGGGUUAAGUCCCGCAACGAGCGCAACCCUUGCCUUUAGUUGCCAGCAGUUCGGCUGGGCACUCUAAAGGGACUGCCGGUGUUAAACCGGAGGAAGGUGGGGAUGACGUCAAGUCCUCAUGGCCUUUAUGACCAGGGCUACACACGUACUACAAUGGCCGAUACAAAGGGCAGCGACACUGCGAGGUGAAGCCAAUCCCGUAAAAUCGGUCUCAGUCCGGAUUGGAGUCUGCAACUCGACUCCAUGAAGUUGGAAUCGCUAGUAAUCGUGGAUCAGCAUGCCACGGUGAAUACGUUCCCGGGCCUU